rnacentral:snRNA from 1 species
AUCCUUAACUGGAUGAGGUCAAUGAAUAAUCAUGAAAGCCCAUAUAGGUUAGCGGCUUCCAUUGCACUUGUGAGGAAUGCCUGCCUAAGGUUGAACCAAGUGAUCGAGCCUAUGUCAUAAUUUGUGUAGUGGGGGCCUGCAUUCUCGUGGCCCCUAU